rnacentral:rRNA from 1 species
AUGGAGAGCCAAUUCUCUCCACAAACUAGUCUUCUUCCAGCCCGAGCAAUAGUCAUUUCCACCCCCAUGGCUGCCUCCACCGAAGCGCACGAAAGCUCCAUGGAGGAAGUCUUCCGCCUAAGUUACAUGCUAGAGAGUGUCCUUGGUAGGGUAGAUAGCCUGAAAAGCAUCCUACGUGCUAGCGUUGUUUCGAAACGCUGGCUUCGCGCCGCAACGAGCGAGCAGAUGCUCUUGGGCUUCAUGUCACGGCGCUCGCCGCCAUUGCUGGGGGUCGUCGCCCAGUACUUGAGGUACGUCCAGUUCACCCCCAUGGUGAACAUCGAGUCAUCUCUCGCUCCCUUGGCAUCGGAUGCGGCGGCUGCAUUUUCCGACCAGUUCACCAACGACACCGUGCUUUUCUGCGGCGACGGUGAAGUUGUCGUGAGAGAAAACGGGCGUCCUAGAGGAUACAGCAAGCGCUCGACAGUGGCUCCGAUAUGGACAACACGCCAUCAUCUUCCUCCUGACGACAUAUUCGAUGCUGCCCCUGCGUCGGUGUGCGCCUGCUUCGUCGUCAUCGACGGCUCCAAGGCCUUCUUCGACGGAUACACCCUGGUUCAUGCUGCCCCCGACGCCCAGCCUCGUGCGUACUUCAUCCGGGUCAGCACCCUUGUUGGUGACCACUGGUGGGUGCAGGUAUCGCAUCCUAUCAACUCCAGCAAUGCAUGUAUUCCCCAUGAAUUUCCACACGCGUUAGUGGUAGAUGGAGUAGUGUAUAUGAUGUAUGCGGUGGGAAUGAUCUUCUCGUGUGAGUUGUCGUCUGGUCACUUUGGCACCGUUGAGCUCCCGGAGCCGUUCAGCGUUGCCAACGACAUGGACUACACGUUCUCCCUGCUUCCACUACUCCACCUGUGCACACACACCCGCGUCCCCAGCGUCGCCCUCCCUGGCGGCGACGGGGGAACCCAGAUCCGGCGCCUUACACCCUUCCCACCUCCCUCCCCACCUCGCCGCCACCGGAGGAAUGGCCGGUGA